rnacentral:rRNA from 1 species
GCCCACCAAAGCGACGAUCGGUAGCCGACCUGAGAGGGUGACCGGCCACAUUGGGACUGAGACACGGCCCAAACUCCUACGGGAGGCAGCAGUGGGGAAUAUUGCACAAUGGGCGAAAGCCUGAUGCAGCGACGCCGCGUGAGUGAAGAAGUAUUUCGGUAUGUAAAGCUCUAUCAGCAGGGAAGAAAAUGACGGUACCUGCACAAGAAGCCCCGGCUAACUACGUGCCAGCAGCCGCGGUAAUACGUAGGGGGCAAGCGUUAUCCGGAUUUACUGGGUGUAAAGGGAGCGUAGAUGGAAUGGCAAGUCAGAUGUGAAAGGCAUGGGCUCAACCCGUGGACUGCAUUUGAAACUGUCAAUCUGGAGUGUCGGAGGGGCAAGCGGAAUUCCUGGUGUAGCGGUGAAAUGCGUAGAUAUCAGGAGGAACACCGGUGGCGAAGGCGGCUUGCUGGACGAUUACCUGACAUUUGAGGCCUCUGAAAGCGUGGGGAGCAAACAGGAAUUAGAUACCCCUGGUUAGUCCACGCGGUAAACGAUGAAUACUAGGUGCUGGGUGCCACAGGCAUUCGGUUGUCCGCCGCUAACGCAUUAAGUAUUCCACCUUGGGGAGUACGUUCGCAAGAAUGAAACUCAAAGGAAUUGACGGAGACCCGCACAAGCGGUGGAGCAUGUGGUUUAAUUCGAAGCAACGCGAAGAACCUUACCAAGUCUUGACAUCUCCCCUGACCGUCCUGGAAACAGGACCUCUCUUCGGAGCAGGGAUGACAGGUGGUGCAUGGUUGUCGUCAGCUCGUGUCGUGAGAUGUUGGGUUAAGUCCCGCAACGAGCGCAACCCUUAUGUUCAGUAGCCAGCGGUUCGGCCGGGCACUCUGGGCAGACUGCCAGGGAUAACCUGGAGGAAGGCGGGGAUGACGUCAAAUCAUCAUGCCCCUUAUGAUUUGGGCUACACACGUGCUACAAUGGCGUUUAACAGAGGGAAGCAAACCCGCGAGGGGGAGCCAAUCCAAAAACAACGUCCCAGUUCGGACUGUAGUCUGCAACCCGACUACACGAAGCUGGAAUCGCUAGUAAUCGCGAAUCAGAAUGUCGCGGUGAAUACGUUCCCGGGUCUUGUACACACCGCCCGUCACACCAUGGGAGUCGAUAACGCCCGAAGCCGGUGACUCAACCGCAAGGAGAGAGCCGUCGAAGGCGGGAUUGUACUGGUG